UUGUGGUUAAAAAUUAUUGAUUUGUACUCAUGAAAAAAAAACUGGUGAAUGAAUCAAAAGAAAAAUAAAUAUUUCACAAUCAAAUAUGACAUGGAUUUCAUUUCCGUUUUUUUCCUCUUCAUUUGUUAUUAUUCGUUUCUGGAUCAGGAAUUUUCACCGGAAAUGACGAUUAAAUGUUCAAUAUGAAUGAAUGAAUGAAUGAAGCAAAUGAUGUGAAAAAUGAACUAAAAUUGUGGCUGAGAAAAAAAAAUUGUGAAUGAACAAAAUGACUUUUUAGGAAAUUUUUUUUUUUUUUGCUGACAGCAUCAAUAUUGAUGAUGAUGAUGAUGAUAUGGCGAUUGACAGUCAUUCAAAAAUUUGGGUGGUUUCUUAUUGCAUCAUUUAUUGAUGCGGAUGAUGGAGAGAGAGAGAAAAAAACAUAAGAUUUGUUCUAAUCAUCAUCAUCAUCAAUAUUAUAUUUGAUGAGUUGUAAAUGAUUGAUUGAUAAAAAAAGAAUCAAUUCGAUUUCAUUUAAAUGUCAAAUGUUGUUUGAGUUGUCACCGUGUGUGUGUGUGAUAUUUCAAUAAUUUAUUCAUCAUUGAUUUGAUAAUGAUUUAUUUUGUAAUGAAUGUCGGUGAUUUAUUACUACAAAUCAUCGUUAAACAUUUUGUGAUGAUGAUAUGAGGUUGACAGUUUAUUUUUUUCGUGGAUUUUGAUUUUGAACAAAAAAAUUGUUUAAAUAAAUAUCACAUUUAAUUUGAUUUGAUGAUAAACAAAUUCGGAUUCUAGAGAAUUUUUUUUUGUUCGUGAAAAUUUCACAAAUUUAAAUUGCUCACAGUUAUGGAGGAAUGAUGAAAUGAUGAUAAACAAAAAUCAUUUCAAAUACACAAGAAUGACGCAUUGGACAAUCGAAAAUUGAACAAACAUGGUCUGUUGGUCGAUUUGAUGGGUCGUUCAGCUAUUUUUCUUCUUUCUUCUACCACACACACACACACACACACA